rfam:Nostoc calcicola FACHB-389 FACHB-389_Scaffold_52, whole genome shotgun sequence.
UUGUGUGUGAGGAGCAAGUUUAAGAAUAAAAAGCGUUUGGGGUGGAAACACGGCAACACUCCCAGGCGCUUUUUAAU